AGAGUUUGAUCCUGGCUCAGGAUGAACGCUGGCGGCGUGCUUAACACAUGCAAGUCGAACGAACCUUCGGGUUAGUGGCGGACGGGUGAGUAACGCGUGAGAAUCUGCCCUCAGGAGGGGGAUAACGGCUGGAAACGGCCGCUAAUACCCCAUAUGCCGAGAGGUGAAAUGAAUUUCGCCUGAGGAUGAGCUCGCGUCUGAUUAGCUAGUUGGUGUGGUAAAGGCUCACCAAGGCAUCGAUCAGUAGCUGGUCUGAGAGGAUGAUCAGCCACACUGGGACUGAGACACGGCCCAGACUCCUACGGGAGGCAGCAGUGGGGAAUUUUCCGCAAUGGGCGCAAGCCUGACGGAGCAACGCCGCGUGAGGGAUGAAGGCCUCUGGGCUGUAAACCUCUUUUAUCAAGGAAGAAGAUCUGACGGUACUUGAUGAAUAAGCCACGGCUAAUUCCGUGCCAGCAGCCGCGGUAAUACGGGAGUGGCAAGCGUUAUCCGGAAUUAUUGGGCGUAAAGCGUCCGCAGGCGGUCUUGAAAGUCUGUUGUUAAAGCGUGGAGCUCAACUCCAUUUCAGCAAUGGAAACUAGAAGACUAGAGUGUGGUAGGGGCAGAGGGAAUUCCCGGUGUAGCGGUGAAAUGCGUAGAUAUCGGGAAGAACACCAGUGGCGAAGGCGCUCUGCUGGGCCAUAACUGACGCUCAUGGACGAAAGCCAGGGGAGCGAAAGGGAUUAGAUACCCCUGUAGUCCUGGCCGUAAACGAUGAACACUAGGUGUCGGGGGAAUCGACCCCCUCGGUGUCGUAGCCAACGCGUUAAGUGUUCCGCCUGGGGAGUACGCACGCAAGUGUGAAACUCAAAGGAAUUGACGGGGGCCCGCACAAGCGGUGGAGUAUGUGGUUUAAUUCGAUGCAACGCGAAGAACCUUACCAGGGUUUGACAUCCUGCGAAUCCCUUGGAAACUUGGGAGUGCCUUCGGGAGCGCAGUGACAGGUGGUGCAUGGCUGUCGUCAGCUCGUGUCGUGAGAUGUUGGGUUAAGUCCCGCAACGAGCGCAACCCACGUUUUUAGUUGCCAGCAUUAAGUUGGGCACUCUAGAGGGACUGCCGGUGAUAAACCGGAGGAAGGUGUGGAUGACGUCAAGUCAUCAUGCCCCUUACAUCCUGGGCUACACACGUACUACAAUGCUACGGACAAAGGGCAGCAAACUCGCGAGAGCUAGCAAAUCCCAUAAACCGUGGCUCAGUUCAGAUCGUAGGCUGCAACUCGCCUACGUGAAGGAGGAAUCGCUAGUAAUCGCAGGUCAGCAUACAGCGGUGAAUACGUUCCCGGGCCUUGUACACACCGCCCGUCACACCAUGGAAGUUGGCCACGCCCGAAGUCGUUACUCCAACCCGCAAGGGAGGAGGAUGCCGAAGGUGGGGCUGAUGACUGGGGUGAAGUCGGAACAAGGUA
rnacentral:rRNA from 1 species